GAGGACACCAUGUUCAGGGAGUCUGGCCCGUCGUGAAACCCCAUGUGAUCUCACUCACAAGAGAUCUCUAAAGGUGUCCCAUGCAGAGACAGGAGGUGCAAACAAGAGAACAGAACCAAGUGACCCCAGGGAGCCGAGAAGAGAGCAGACAUUCUCGGUUCAGGAGACCCUGUCAGCCACCAGGUUCCAGAUGAUGCCAAUUGGACUUCCCUGGGCAGAUGACCCCACCAAUAUGUCCUGGAGCCCCGCUUCCCCAGAACCCUGCCCCACUAGGGAAAGCGAGAGGGAGGUUGGGAGUAUGGAUUGACCUGUCAAGGCCCAUGUUCAGCAAGGAAGCAGUUACAGAAGCCAGACCUCCAGCCUCCCAGAGGGAUAAAGAAUAAGGAAGCUAUCAGGAGAAGGGAUGGGAUACAGAGAUCUGGUGGUGGGA